rnacentral:rRNA from 1 species
UACGUAGGGGGCAAGCGUUGUCCGGAUUUAUUGGGCGUAAAGAGCGUGUAGGCGGCCAGACAGGUCAGCUGUGAAAACUCGAGGCUCAACCUCGAGACGUCGGUUGAAACCGUCUGGCUAGAGUCCGGAAGAGGAGAGUGGAAUUCCCGGUGUAGCGGUGAAAUGCGCAGAUAUCGGGAAGAACACCCGUGGCGAAGGCGGCUCUUUGGGACGGUACUGACGCUGAGACGCGAAAGCGUGGGGAGCGAACAGG